rnacentral:lncRNA from 1 species
CUGAAGCUUCACCUUAGCUCUUUGCACUGGGGAGAACCUUUGAUAUCUUGUAUGUCAUUGUUGUAGUGAGUGGAGAAGAUGGAAGAGACAAUGAACCAAUUACAAACACAAGAGGUUUUAUAGUGGUUCGGAGCUAACCCUUGCUCCUACGUCCACUUCCCAAGCUUCACUUGGGAGUUCACUAUAAUCCCUAGGAUUACAGCCGAUUGUUUUACAAGUUCACAACCCAACUUGUUGUUUUCACGAGAUCACAACGAACUCGGUCGGUUUUCACAGGCUCACCGACUAGAACCAUCCGAUUGUUUUUUCGGGAUCACAAUCGAACCCUUACACCGUUGGUUUUAACUUCGGCUCACCAACAAACCUCAACAACCUUGAUUCAAUCCCCUGAUUGAAUCAAGUAACAAGAAAACAGUUUGUAAAGAGUACAGGGAAAGCUUCUUAAAAACCAAAUAUGAACAAUAUAAAUAAUGUAGAGUUAGAAGUCCUCAAACAGAUUUUGGAAGAGGAAGUAGGGGCUUCUCGAACUCUGAGUCUCCUCUUUGAAUGCACUGAAGAUCUGAUGUCAGAGGAGAGCCUUGAAUGCGAAGGAAACGUUUGUUGGAUGAAGUUCAAUGCGCUUUUCCUUCUUUCUCUUGUAUUUACUCUUGAGAGCCUUUGGUAGGUGGAAAUCCCUUUUUGUUUGAAUGGAAUAGCUCCCCUUUUUGUCUACUGCUGUUCACUCUAGCUAUUUAAGCAGUCCACUUUGAAAACUAGCCGUUAGACACCACUUUAUGGCCGUUCUGC